rnacentral:rRNA from 1 species
AUACGGAGGGUGCAAGCGUUACUCGGAAUCACUGGGCGUAAAGCGCGCGCAGGCGGCUAUUUAAGUUGGAUGUGAAAGCCUACGGCUCAACCGUAGAACUGCAUCCAAAACUAUUUAGCUAGAGUGUGGGAGAGGAAGAUGGAAUUAGUUGUGUAGGGGUAAAAUCCGUAGAGAUAACUAGGAAUACCAAAAGCGAAGGCAAUCUUCUGGAACACUACUGACGCUGAGGCGCGAAAGCGUGGGGAGCAAACAGGAGUAGAAACCCCAGUAGUCC